rnacentral:rRNA from 1 species
GCAAGUCGAGGGGCAGCACGGAAUAGCAAUAUUUUGGUGGCGACCGGCGCACGGGUGAGUAACACGUAUGCAACCUACCCAUGACAGUGGAAUAACCCGUCGAAAGGCGGACUAAUACCGCAUAAUAAAGAGUGCUCGCAUGGGUACUUUUUCAAAGAUUUAUCGGUCAUGGAUGGGCAUGCGUUCCAUUAGGUAGUUGGCGGGGCAACGGCCCACCAAGCCUGCGAUGGAUAGGGGUUCUGAGAGGAAGGUCCCCCACACUGGUACUGAGACACGGACCAGACUCCUACGGGAGGCAGCAGUGAGGAAUAUUGGUCAAUGGGCGAGAGCCUGAACCAGCCAAAUCGCGUGAAGGAUGAAGGUAUUAUGUAUUGUAAACUUCUUUUACAGGGGAAUAAAGUGCGGGACGUGUCCCGUUUUGUAUGUGCCCUGAGAAUAAGGAUCGGCUAACUCCGUGCCAGCAGCCGCGGUAAUACGGAGGAUCCAAGCGUUAUCCGGAUUUAUUGGGUUUAAAGGGUGCGUAGGCGGGGAAUCAAGUCAGCGGUGAAAGUUUGCGGCUCAACCGUAAAAUUGCCGUUGAAACUGGUUCUCUUGAGUGUAGAUGAGGUGGGUGGAAUUCGUGGUGUAGCGGUGAAAUGCUUAGAUAUCACGAAGAACUCCAAUUGCGUAGGCAGCUCACUGGGCUACAACUGACGCUGAGGCACGAAGGUGCGGGGAUCAAACAGGAUUAGAUACCCUGGUAGUCCGCACAGUAAACGAUGAAUACUAGCUGUUGGCGAUACACUGCCAGUGGCACAGCGAAAGCGUUAAGUAUUCCACCUGGGGAGUACGUCCGCAAGAAUGAAACUCAAAGGAAUUGACGGGGGGCCGGCACAAGCGGAAGAACAUGU